rnacentral:tRNA from 1 species
UCCCUGGCGGUCUAGUGGUUAGGAUUCUGUGCUUCAAUUGCAGGGGGUACAGGUUUGAUCCCUGUUCAGGGAA